ACGCUCGACACCUACUGGAGGCAGCAGUGGGGGAUAUUGCACAAUGGGGGAAACCCUGAUGCAGCAACGCCGCGUGAGGGAAGACGGUUUUCGGAUUGUAAACCUACUGUCAUCGGUGACGAUAAUGACGGUAGCCGAUGAGGAAGCUCCGGCUAACUACGUGCCGCAGCCGCCGGUAAGUACUGAGGCGGGCGUGGCGAAGGACG
rnacentral:rRNA from 1 species